ACGCUAGCUACAGGCUUAACACAUGCAAGUCGAGGGGCAUCAAGGUCUUAGCUUGCUAAGAGCCGAUGGCGACCGGCGCACGGGUGAGUAACACGUAUCCAACCUGCCGUCUACUCUUGGACAGCCUUCUGAAAGGAAGAUUAAUACAAGAUGGCAUCAUGAGUCCGCAUGUUCACAUGAUUAAAGGUAUUCCGGUAGACGAUGGGGAUGCGUUCCAUUAGAUAGUAGGCGGGGUAACGGCCCACCUAGUCUUCGAUGGAUAGGGGUUCUGAGAGGAAGGUCCCCCACAUUGGAACUGAGACACGGUCCAAACUCCUACGGGAGGCAGCAGUGAGGAAUAUUGGUCAAUGGGCGAGAGCCUGAACCAGCCAAGUAGCGUGAAGGAUGACUGCCCUAUGGGUUGUAAACUUCUUUUAUAAAGGAAUAAAGUCGGGUAUGGAUACCCGUUUGCAUGUACUUUAUGAAUAAGGAUCGGCUAACUCCGUGCCUGCAGCCGCGGUAAUACGGAAGAUCCGAGCGUUAUCCGGAUUUAUUGGGUUUAAAGGGAGCGUAGAUGGAUGUUUAAGUCAGUUGUGAAAGUUUGCGGCUCAACCGUAAAAUUGCAGUUGACACUGGAUAUCUUGAGUGCAGUUGAGGCAGGCGGAAUUCGUGGUGUAGCGGUGAAAUGUUUAGAUAUCACGAAGAACUCCGAUUGCGAAGGCAGCCUGCUAAGCUGCAACUGACAUUGAGGCUGGAAAGUGUGGGUAUCAAACAGGAUUAGAUACCCUGGUAGUCCACACGGUAAACGAUGAAUACUCGCUGUUUGCGAUAUACUGCAAGCGGCCAAGCGAAAGCGUUAAGUAUUCCACCUGGGGAGUACGCCGGCAACGGUGAAACUCAAAGGAAUUGACGGGGGCCCGCACAAGCGGAGGAACAUGUGGUUUAAUUCGAUGAUACGCGAGGAACCUUACCCGGGCUUAAAUUGCAGAUGAAUUACGGUGAAAGCCGUAAGCCGCAAGGCAUCUGUGAAGGUGCUGCAUGGUUGUCGUCAGCUCGUGCCGUGAGGUGUCGGCUUAAGUGCCAUAACGAGCGCAACCCUUGUUGUCAGUUACUAACAGGUUCCGCUGAGGACUCUGACAAGACUGCCAUCGUAAGAUGUGAGGAAGGUGGGGAUGACGUCAAAUCAGCACGGCCCUUACGUCCGGGGCUACACACGUGUUACAAUGGGGGGUACAGAGGGCCGCUACCACGCGAGUGGAUGCCAAUCCCCAAAACCUCUCUCAGUUCGGACUGGAGUCUGCAACCCGACUCCACGAAGCUGGAUUCGCUAGUAAUCGCGCAUCAGCCACGGCGCGGUGAAUACGUUCCCGGGCCUUGUACACACCGCCCGUCAAGCCAUGGGAGCCGGGGGUACCUGAAGUGCGUAACCGCGAGGAGCGCCCUAGGGUAAAACUGGU
rnacentral:rRNA from 1 species